GGUCCCCCUGGCCUGAGCAUCCCAGGGCCAGCUGGCCCCAAAGGCGAGCAGGGCGAUCGGGUGAGUCUGGGGGCACCCUGGGGACACCAGCUCAUGGCCCUGCUCCCUCUCCUGCCAAGGGGUCACCGAGGUUCCCAGUGACACCUGCUCUUCCUCUCCAACAACCAGGGUAUCGCUGGCCUCCCAGGCAGGAGUGGCCCAAAGGUGAUGUCACUGCCCUUCCAUCCAUCCGUCCAUCCAUCCCUCUGGCUGGCUGGCUCUAGAGGGGCUGCUCCUGCAGGCUGUGCCCCUUCUCUGCCCAGCUGCCCAGACCCUGCCCUGACUGUUGCCCCUUCUCUUGCCUAGGGUGACCCAGGAGAGCCCGGGGAGAAGGGGGAGCCGGGCCGAGCAGGCAGCCCCGGGCAGAUGGGGCUGCGAGGCAAGGAGGUAGUGUGGUACAAGGGGCUGUGGGGCACCGCGGCCCUGAGGAGAGGCGGGGCUGGCAGGGAGCAGGGGGAUGCUGGUCACUUGUACUUUUCUCUCCUGGCCGGUGCCCACUGAUUUGUGCCUCAGGGAGAGCGAGGAGAGAAAGGUGACGAAGGCACCCCGGUAAGUGAGGGUCCCCAGGACCACUGCCCCCCUUCCCACUGCCUCUGAUCCCACUGCCCCCCACUCACCCCCUCCUUCCCCACAGGGUGAAGCGGGUCUGCCUGGCAAGCCUGGAGACAGGGGUCCCCGGGUAAGUGCAGGGCUGCUGGGCACCCCGGGGCAGGAGAGAGACUUGUGGCCUCGGGGUGGCUCCUGCUAAUGCACAUCUUCCCUUUGCCCUCCACCCAGGGCCUUCCUGGCUACCGUGGCCCCCCCGGGGAGAAGGGCGACUUGGGGGACCCAGGACCUGAAGGCAGGAAUGGCAGCCCUGGAGCACCAGGGAGCAAGGGUGACCGUGGGGACCCAGUGAGUGAUGGCAGGGCCACAUGUGGCCCCCCACCCCAGAGCCAGCUGUGCCCUCCCCAGGGCUGUGCCAGCUCGCCUUAAUCUGCUUCCCUUGCCCUUCUUUCAGGGGCCUCCCGGACCCCCAGGACGAACUGUAAGUUCUGCCUCCCUUCUCCCUGCCCAUGGGCUGGUGUCCAGCCCCGUGUGCUCCAACAGCUCCUCUCUGCCCCACAGGUCGAUGUUGGGCUCGGAGGAGUGGGGGGAAAGGGUGAGAAGGGGGACCCUGGGGACCCAGGUGAGGACGGUGCCAAGGGUGCCCGGGGUGAUGCUGGCUCCCCUGGACUGCCUGGAGAGAGGGGUGUGGAGGGCCCCCGUGGCCCCCCUGGCACACGGGUAA
rnacentral:lncRNA from 1 species